rnacentral:rRNA from 1 species
CCUACGGGAGGCAGCAGUGGGGAAUAUUGGACAAUGGGGGCAACCCUGAUCCAGCCAUGCCGCGUGAGUGAUGAAGGCCUUCGGGUUGUAAAGCUCUUUUGGCGGGGACGAUGAUGACGGUACCCGCAGAAUAAGCCCCGGCUAACUUCGUGCCAGCAGCCGCGGUAAGACGAAGGGGGCUAGCGUUGUUCGGAAUUACUGGGCGUAAAGGGCGCGUAGGCGGUCUUGUCAGUCAGGCGUGAAAGCCCUGGGCUCAACCUGGGAUGUGCGCUUGAUACUGCAAGGCUUGAGUGCAGGAGAGGAUGGUGGAAUUCCCAGUGUAGAGGUGAAAUUCGUAGAUAUUGGGAAGAACACCGGUGGCGAAGGCGGCCAUCUGGACUGCAACUGACGCUGAGGCGCGAAAGCGUGGGGAGCAAACAGGAUUAGAUACCCGGGUAGUC